GACGAACGCUGGCGGCGUGCCUAAUACAUGCAAGUCGAACGCAGUGGGGACGGGUGCGUAACACGUGGGUAACCUCCCAUCAGAGGGGAGAACACUUUGAAACAGGUGCUAAACCGCUACUGCUGGAUGAACCCGCGGUGCAUUGGCUAGUUGGUGAGGUAACGGCUCACCAAGGCCACGAUGCAUAGCCGACCUGAGAGGGUGAUCGGCCACACUGGGACUGAGACACGGCCCAGACUCGUACGGGAGGCAGCAGUAGGGAAUCUUCGGCAAUGGACGAAAGUCUGACCGAGCAACGCCGCGUGAGUGAAGAAGGUUUUCGGAGCGUAAAACUCUGUUGUUGGAGAAGCGGUAUCUAACCAGAAAGCCACGGCUAACUACGUGCCAGCAGCCGCGGUAAUAC
rnacentral:rRNA from 1 species